CGUUGAGGUCCUUGAUACCGAGAGAGGAAACACUGAGAAUCAAAGACCUGAGAGAGAACGAUUCAGCCGAGUAGUGUUUCAUAUUCACAGCAUGGAGCUCUGAAGGGACCAGCGGUUUACCUGGAACCACUUUGACCUUCAAAGAUCCAGAUGUGCAGGCGCAGGUUGAUCUGGUCUCCUGGGGGUCCGAAGCUGACUCACGUGUGUGUGUUGUCAGCUUUCAAGAGAUGAUGUAAGUCACUCUUGUUUAUUAUGCACAACAUUGAUUCAUCUCAUUUACAGAAUUUGCAGCAUAAUGUCAAGAAAAGAGAGACUCCAAAAGCAGGAGGACAGGGAAAAUAUCCUGGUCUGUUUUUGAAAUGUAUUUAUUUAUAUUAUUAUUAUUUUUAAUUUCCUGAAUAACUUUGGCAAUGGUGCCCUUUUGUUUUGGGUUGAGCAAUAAGAGAAAUGGCUCAAAGGAGUGAAAAGAAUGCGCUAUUUAAACAGACUAACAGCAUUUUACAGGCCGACUUGUUAUCAUGGUGGAAAACAAAAAGUAGACGUAGUUGUCAAAUUCCAAAUGUUUUAUUUUAAUUUAUAUCUCAGUCCUAUUGUACGAUUUGUAUGUAAUUGAAGAAACAGUGUAAUCCAUUAAAAAGAGACGUGCUGCAAUAAAUAAUGAGCUUUAUAAGUGAAUGUUCUACUUGUAUCUCUUAUUAUGUUUAGUAACAGAAUCAUGAAAUCAGACAUUACAACUGAUGAUAAUCUACUAAAAUAAGUCCAAUAUUUCUGUCCCCAUUGUUGUUGAUUUUGUGUGAGGGAAGCUGCCAAAACCGUCAUGAAUAAAAUGUCCAUUUGUGUGUGUGUGUGUGUGUGUGAGAUGCUGACGAGGAACCACAAAGCGGACCAGAAGAUGGGCAGGAUGCAUUCUCUCUGGUUUAUUCAGGUUCUUUAGGAAGAGUUCUGUUUGAAAUUACAAAAUGCACUGGUAGAAACAGAUAGAGAAAGAAACAGAGCGAGAGAAGGAGAUGGUGGGAGAGAGAGAGAGAGAAAG